rnacentral:rRNA from 1 species
UUAACGCGAAGGACCUUACCAGGUCUUGACAUCCCGAUGCCCGCUCUAGAGAUAGAGUUUUACUUUUGUACAUCGGUGACAGGUGGUGCAUGGUUGUCGUCAGCUCGUGUCGUGAGAUGUUGGGUUAAGUCCCGCAACGAGCGCAACCCCUAUUGUUAGUUGCCAUCAUUGAGUUGGGCACUCUAGCGAGACUGCCGGUAAUAAACCGGAGGAAGGUGGGGAUGACGUCAAAUCAUCAUGCCCCUUAUGACCUGGGCUACACACGUGCUACAAUGGCUGGUACAACGAGUCGCAAGCCGGUGACGGCAAGCUAAUCUCUUAAAGCCAGUCUCAGUUCGGAUUGUAGGCUGCAACUCGCCUACAUGAAGUCGGAAUCGCUAGUAAUCGCGGAU